rnacentral:rRNA from 1 species
UACGGGGGGGAGCAAGCGUUGUUCGGAUUUACUGGGCGUAAAGGGCGCGUAGGCGGCGCAACAAGUCACUUGUGAAAUCUCCGGGCUUAACCCGGAGCGGUCAAGUGAUACUGUCGUGCUAGAGUGCGGAAGGGGCUACUGGAAUUCUCGGUGUAGCGGUGAAAUGCGUAGAUAUCGAGAGGAACACCUGGCGGCGAAGGCGGGUAGCUGGGCCGACACUGACGGCUGAGGCGCGGAAAGCCAGGGGAGCGAACGGG